CGGGGUAUAGCUCAGUUGGCUAGAGCGCUUGCAUGGGGUGCAAGAGGCCGCAGGUUCAAGUCCUGUUACCCCGACCA
rnacentral:tRNA from 1 species